CCGCGCUCCGGGCCGCCGUGACGUCAGACUCGCCGCUGCUCCUCUCUCGCUCGGUGGCAGGUGCGGUGCAUCUGGUGCGGUCUCAUCUGGUCAGGUCAGGUCUCUACCAAACCAGUGCCCUACGGAUUCGAGAAGAGGAGAGGUACACUCAGCAGGUCCCUGAUGAACCCAGGGAACCCUCCACCGUAUCCGGGCCCUGGUCCGACGGCCCCGUACCCACCUUAUCCACCACAACCAAUGGGACCAGGGGGCUGCCACCCAGGACCUAUGGGGGGACCCUACCCACCUCCUCAGGGGUACCCCUAUCAAGGAUACCCACAGUAUGGCUGGCAAGGCGGACCUCAGGAGCCUCCUAAAACCACAGUGUAUGUGGUGGAAGACCAAAGAAGGGAUGACCUGGGCCCAUCCACCUGCCUCACAGCCUGCUGGACUGCACUCUGUUGCUGCUGUCUCUGGGACAUGCUCACCUGACCAGCCCGGCCUUCCUGUCCUGCCAGUUCUGCCACCACCUUCAGCAGGUGUGCCUGCCCCAUCUCUUCUGAUUGCUGAAAUAAAUGAAAAUGACUAGCUCUGCACAGACACUUCUACCUUCAACACAGUGGGAUUCUAGAUUAGCAGGGUUUGCACUGCUGUUUAAUUCAGUGACUAUCUUUUUAAUGUUUAAAAUCCAUUUCUUAUUGGCCUUUCACAAAUGUGCUAAAUGACUUUUAUUUUUUUGGCCAAAGGCUUAGUUAUAAAAUAUAUAUUUAUAAUUUUAAAAUUAUACAUUCAAGGUAGUGACAUGAUGUAAUACCACUGAAUGAUUUCUCUGCUAACACCCUGUAUGUUUCAAUAAAUUUGUCUAAACCUCAACUGCCUGAAUAAUUCCAGAGAGAACAGAAGCCCUGGAGCCACUGUCCACUAUGACGAGGAGGGGGUCUAUUUAUGCUUUCAUUCCACUGCAGGUGGGUGCUAUGAGGAAGGCAGGUUCCACGGGGCCCUCACCAGACUAGCAUUUUCUCUCUCAUCCCACUCAGAGCCAGGCUCACCAAGCUACCCAGAGCUAGGCCUUCUUUUCUGCUGCC